AUGAAGGAUAAAGAAGGGGGGCUCACCGACCCUUACUGCGUCGUCAAGUACGGCGAGAAGUGGGUGCGCACAGGCACGUUGUUCGCCACGGCGGUGCCGCAGUGGAACGAGCAGUACACCUGGAACGUGCUGGACCUCAACACCGUCGUCACCGUCGCAGUUUUCGACGACUGCCAUCUAUCCUCCUCGCAAGGGGGUGAUGACCAGCAGAUGGGCAAGGUGCGCAUCCGCCUCGCCACCCUCGAGACCAACCGCAUGUACAGCCAACACUACCCGCUCAUGGUGCUCACCCCGACGGGGCUGAAGAUGACCGGCGAACUCCAGCUCGCCGUCCGCUUCACCUGCAGGUCGUGGGCCAAAAUGCUGGCCACCCUGCGUCGUAGCCAGUCCAACUUCCAACGCAUCGCCUCCCUCUACUCCGGCGCCAUCGCCGUCGCCAAACGGUUCGACGACAUUUGCGAGUGGAAGAACCCACUGUCGACGAUUCUGGUCCACGUGAUGUUCCUGUACCUGGUGUGCUACCCGCAGCUGAUCCUGCCGAUGGUGCUCGUGCUCAUGGUCAUGAUCGGGGUGUGGAACUACCCGCGGCGGCCGCAGAAUCCGCCGCAUAUAGACACGGUGCUGUCGUACGCAGAUCAGGCGCAGCCCGACGAGCUGGAAGAGGAGUUCGACACGUUCCCGACGUCCACGCCGGAUGACAUCGUGAAGCUGAGAUACGACCGGCUGCGGAGCGUCGCCGGCACGUUGCAAAGGGAGCUCGGCGACCUGGCUAUGCACGCGGAGCGCGCGCAGUCGCUGCUUAGCUGGAGAGACCACAGGGUAACGCCCAUCUUCAUCCUGCUCUCCCUGGUGGUCGCCGUCGUGCUGUACUGGACGCCGUUCAAGGUGGUGGUCGUGGUGAUGGGGCUGUAUUUCCUCCUGCCCUCGCGGUUCCGGUCCAGCAGGAGGAGGACCAGCAUGGUCUUCAACUUGUACAGCCGUCUACCCUCCAAGGAUGACUCGAUGCUAUAA
rnacentral:rRNA from 1 species